GUGGGGAAUAUUGCACAAUGGGCGCAAGCCUGAUGCAGCAACGCCGCGUGAGGGAUGACGGCCUUCGGGUUGUAAACCUCUUUUAGUAGGGAAGAAGCGAAAGUGACGGUACCUGCAGAAAAAGCACCGGCUAACUACGUGUCAGCAGCCGCGGUAAUACGUAGGGUGCAAGCGUUGUCCGGAAUUAUUGGACGUAAAGAGCUCGUAGGCGGCUUGUCGCGUCUGCUGUGAAAUCCCGGGGCUCAACCCCGGGCCUGCAGUGGGUACGGGCAGGCUAGAGUGCGGGAGGGGAGAUUGGAAUUCCUGGUGUAGCGGUGGAAUGCGCAGAUAUCAGGAGGAACACCGAUGGCGAAGGCAGAUCUCUGGGCCGCUACUGACGCUGAGGAGCGAAAGCAUGGGGAGCGAACAGGAUUAGAAACCCUGGUAGUCC
rnacentral:rRNA from 1 species